UGGGGAAUAUUGCACAAUGGGCGAAAGCCUGAUGCAGCAACGCCGCGUGAGUGAUGAAGGCCUUCGGGUUGUAAAGCUCUGUCUUUUGGGACGAUAAUGACGGUACCAAAGGAGGAAGCCACGGCUAACUACGUGCCAGCAGCCGCGGUAAUACGUAGGUGGCAAGCGUUGUCCGGAUUUACUGGGCGUAAAGGAUGCGUAGGCGGAUUUUUAAGUGAGAUGUGAAAUACCCGGGCUUAACUUGGGUGCUGCAUUUCAAACUGGGAAUCUAGAGUGCGGGAGAGGAGAAUGGAAUUCCUAGUGUAGCGGUGAAAUGCAUAGAGAUUAGGAAGAACACCAGUGGCGAAGGCGAUUCUCUGGACCGUAACUGACGCUGAGGCAUGAAAGCGUGGGUAGCAAACAGGAUUAGAUACCCUGGUAGUCCACGCCGUAAACGAUGAGUACUAGGUGUAGGAGGUAUCGACCCCUUCUGUGCCGCAGUUAACACAAUAAGUACUCCGCCUGGGAAGUACGAUCGCAAGAUUAAAACUUAAAUGAAUUGACGGGGUCAUAGCUG
rnacentral:rRNA from 1 species